CUAUGCGCCUUCGCCAGCCCGCUCAGAAACUUAAAGGAAUUGACGGGACCCCGCACAAGCGGUGGAUCAUGUUGUUUAAUUCGAUGAUACGCGAAGAACCUUACCAGGUCUUGACAUCCCCCGCGAUGCUUUAGAGAUAAAGCGGAGGUAUUCGGGGAGACAGGUGGUGCAUGGUUGUCGUCAGCUCGUGCCGUGAGGUGUCGGGUUAAGUCCCAUAACGAGCGCAACCCUUACCGUUAGUUACCAUCAGGUAAAGCUGGGGACUCUAGCGGGACUGCCACCGUAAGGUGAGAGGAAGGCGGGGAUGACGUCAAAUCAGCACGGCCCUUAUGUCCAGGGCUACACACGUGUUACAAUGGCCGGUACAAAGGGCAGCUACUCCGCGAGGAGAUGCUAAUCUUAAAAAGCCGGUCUCAGUUCGGAUCGAAGUCUGCAACCCGACUUCGUGAAGCUGGAUUCGCUAGUAAUCGCGCAUCAGCCAUGGCGCGGUGAAUACGUUCCCGGGCCUU
rnacentral:rRNA from 1 species